AAAACUUCAAACACCGCUCAUAUAGUUUCACAUUUUUUCACUUUAAUACUCAAUAAUUUAAAGUGUAUCGAUUUAACAUCUGUAGUUUUAUUUUUAUUUUUUUAUUAUUAAUUUUAUUAAUUUUUUUGUUAAAUCAGUGAUAAAGUUAAAUCUAAAAUGUACUAAAAUAAAUAUUCGAUAAAUCUAGAUGAAAUAUUUUAAAUUUUUUGUAUGUAUUUUAACGAAAUAUUAACGGAGAAACUGACGAAAAGAUAAAAAUGAAAUCAUAUGACACUAAUAUUACUACAACAAAAACGGUCUAUAGCGACACUUUUAAAUGUAAGUACAUGUCAAAAAAAUGCUGCUAGCUAAAAUUACCGACACUUUUAAAAAGUGUUGCUAUAUGUGGGGUCGCUAGGUAUAUAGUGACAGUUAAAGAGUGUCGCUAUAACUUAAAAGAGUGCUGCUAAUUUACCAACACUUAUUUAAGUAUUUAGCAACUGCCGAAACUCUAUCUCGUUGGCUACGGUGGCGGAGGAGAACAACAGGAAAGACUCUUCGUCUAGAAUUUCAGUGGAUUGAGUGAAGAGAGAAGAAAAGAUGACAAUUGAUUUUUCUUUUCUGUUUGUAAUCGGACCAAAUGGACUGAGUGUGGUGGGUUGAGUAGAGUAAUUUUUUAUUUUUGGUUGGAUUGGGCUUUAUAUUUAGGCAUUAGUAGAUGUUUUUUUUAAGUUUUAGUAUAAAUGGGGCACUUACUCAAAAGUGUCCCAAACAUGUGUCCCUAUAACCUAAUUCUGUUGUAGUAAAUUUAAUACGCUUUAAACCACAGGGUACUAAAGUGAGAAAGUGCAAAACCAUAGGGGUGGUAUCUGAAGUUUAUCCUAUAAAAAAAUAGAGCCCGCUGAUGUAGCGCUUCUACGUGCUAUUAAAUUAUUUUUAAUGUUGUGGUAUUCGAAUCGAUGAUCGGUUCUAUUAAAUUCUAUCUGUACUAUUAAAAAUAUUUAAAAGUUAAAUUUUAUAAUUUUUAAUAUUAUUUAUUUAUCAAAUGAGUGGUCUAAAAUAAAUUGUUGAAAAUAAAAAUCUAAAAAAAAUAAUGAUAAAAGACUUGAAUUUAUGAUCAGAUAUAUCGAUCUUACUCUAAAUAGUAAAAAAAAUUUCUAUAAAAAAUUUAAUAAAUUUGAAUUAUUUUACACCGUUAAUUCAUAAACACAUAUCAUAUCGGCCAUUAAAAUCACUAGUCAAAUAAUGUCGAAAGAAUAUGAAAAUUUGUUUCUAAAUAUUUUCAAUAGCGUAAAUCAUUUCUAACGAAGCUGAUCGUCAAUUUGGAAGCCGCAUCAUCGAAAAUAACUUGGUAGCACGAAGGCUAUCAUGCUAUCGAUAGUAUAUAUAGUAGCCGGAUUAUAAAAAUUUAUAUAUUAUAUAUACGAAUCCAGCUACUAUCCUUUUAGAAGAAUAGAGAUCUUCGUCCAUCUAAAUCGUCUUAGAUGAUAGUGAUUCUGAAUUAAUAAACAAAACCGUUAAAAUUAAUCUAAAGUAAUUAAUACGUUUAGAAACCAAAUUUCAUCGAUUUUAAAAAUUAUUUACAUUGUGAUUAAAGAAACACAAAAUCGACAGUUCUUAACGGUCUAUAUAAGUCGUUUGCUUAUUUAAUAUUGUAACACCACUUGAAUUUUUGAUAGAAAACUUUUUAUAUUGUUUAGAUAACGUUUGAUAACUUCGAUCAUGAAUUAAGAAAGUCGAACCUUUAUUUUUACAAGGUUAUUUAUUUUUUAUCAUUUAUUUUUCAACUCUUCAAUUGAUUUGAUAAUAAUUUUUAAAAAUUAAAAUAUUCGAUUUCUAAGUAUUUCUAAUAGUACAGAUCA
rnacentral:lncRNA from 1 species